rnacentral:rRNA from 1 species
AUUGAACGCUGGCGGCAUGCCUUACACAUGCAAGUCGAACGGCAGCAUGGAAGAGCUUGCUCUUCUGAUGGCGAGUGGCGAACGGGUGAGUAAAGCAUCGGAACGUACCUUAUCGUGGGGGAUAACGCAACGAAAGUUGUGCUAAUACCGCAUACGAUCUACGGAUGAAAGCGGGGGAUCGCAAGACCUCGCGCGAUUGGAGCGGCCGAUAUCAGAUUAGGUAGUUGGUGGGGUAAAGGCUCACCAAGCCAACGAUCUGUAGCUGGUCUGAGAGGACGACCAGCCACACUGGAACUGAGACACGGUCCAGACUCCUACGGGAGGCAGCAGUGGGGAAUUUUGGACAAUGGACGCAAGUCUGAUCCAGCCAUUCCGCGUGCAGGAUGAAGGCCCUCGGGUUGUAAACUGCUUUUGUACGGAACGAAAAGGUUUCUAUUAAUACUAGGAGCUCAUGACGGUACCGUAAGAAUAAGCACCGGCUAACUACGUG